ACAUCAGUAGCCGCGGUAAUACGUAGGUGGCAAGCGUUGUCCGGAAUUAUUGGGCGUAAAGGGCUCGCAGGCGGUUUCUUAAGUCUGAUGUGAAAGCCCCCGGCUCAACCGGGGAGGGUCAUUGGAAACUGGGAAACUUGAGUGCAGAAGAGGAGAGUGGAAUUCCACGUGUAGCGGUGAAAUGCGUAGAGAUGUGGAGGAACACCAGUGGCGAAGGCGACUCUCUGGUCUGUAACUGACGCUGAGGAGCGAAAGCGUGGGGAGCGAACAGGAUUAGAUACCCCUGUAGUCCCUGUCUCUUAUAA
rnacentral:rRNA from 1 species